UGGGGAAUUUUGGACAAUGGGCGAAAGCCUGAUCCAGCAAUGCCGCGUGUGUGAAGAAGGCCUUCGGGUUGUAAAGCACUUUUGUCCGGAAAGAAAUCCUUGGCUCUAAUACAGUCGGGGGAUGACGGUACCGGAAGAAUAAGCACCGGCUAACUACGUGCCAGCAGCCGCGGUAAUACGUAGGGUGCAAGCGUUAAUCGGAAUUACUGGGCGUAAGCGUGCGCAGGCGGUUUGCUAAGACCGAUGUGAAAUCCCGGGCUCAACCUGGGAACUGCAUUGGUGACUGGCAGGCUAGAGUAUGGCAGAGGGGGGUAGAAUUCCACGUGUAGCAGUGAAAUGCGUAGAGAUGUGGAGGAAUACCGAUGGCGAAGGCAGCCCCCUGGGCCAAUACUGACGCUCAUGCACGAAAGCGUGGGGAGCAAACAGGAUUAGAUACCCUGGUAGUCCACGCCCUAAACGAUGUCAACUAGUUGUUGGGGAUUCAUUUCCUUAGUAACGUAGCUAACGCGUGAAGUUGACCGCCUGGGGAGUACGGUCGCAAGAUUAAAACUUAAAGGAAUUGACGGGGUCAUAGCUGUUUCCU
rnacentral:rRNA from 1 species